GUGCUCACUUCGGCAGCACAUAUACUAAUGUUGGAAUGAUACAGAGAAGAUUAGCAUAGCCCCUUGUGCAAGAAGGACACACAAAUUUGUGAAAAAUUCCAUGUUUAA